rnacentral:rRNA from 1 species
GACGUAGGGGGCCAGCGUUGUUCGGAAUUACUGGGUGUAAAGGGUUCGUAGGCGGUGCGGCAAGUCGGGAGUGAAAUCUCUGGGCUUAACCCAGAGGCUGCUUCCGAAACUGCUGUGCUUGAGUGUGGGAGAGGCGCGUGGAAUUGCAGGUGUAGCGGUGAAAUGCGUAGAUAUCGGGAGGAACACCUGAGGCGAAGGCGGGCUACUGGGCCGAUACUGACGCUGAUGCGCGAAAGCCAGGGGAGCAAACGGG